rnacentral:precursor_RNA from 1 species
UGGAAACUUACUAAGUGAUCACUUUCAAAUUCAGAGAAACCCUGGAAUUAACAAAAAUGGGCAAUCCUGAGCCAAAUCCUGUUUUCCGAAAACAAACAAAGGUUCAGAAAAAAAAGGAUAGGUGCAGAGACUCAAUGGAAGCUAUUCUAACAAAUGGAGUUAAAUGCGUUGGUAGAGGAAUCUUUACAUCGAAACUUCAGAAAGAAAAAGAAUGAAGUGAAGGAUAAACGUAUAUACAUACGUAUUGAAUACUAUAUCAAAUGAUUAAUGAUGACCCGAAUCGGUAUUUUUUCUAUAAAAAAUAGAAGAGUUGGUGUGAAUCGAUUCUACAUUGAAGAAAGAAUCGAAUAUUCAUUGAUCAAAUCAUUCACUCCAUAGUCUGAUAGAUCUUUUGAAGAACUGAUUAAUCGGACGAGAAUAAAGAUAGAGUCCCGUUCUACAUGUCAAUACCGGCAACAAUGAAAUUUAUAGUAAGAGGAAAAUCCGUCGACUUUAAAAAUCGUGAGGGUUCAAGUCCCUCUAUCCCCAAAAAGACUAUUUCACUCCCCAACUAUUUAUCCGACCCCC